rnacentral:rRNA from 1 species
GACGAACGCUGGCGGCGUGCUUAACACAUGCAAGUCGAACGGAAAGGCCCUGCUUUUGUGGGGUGCUCGAGUGGCGAACGGGUGAGUAACACGUGAGUAACCUGCCCUUGACUUUGGGAUAACUUCAGGAAACUGGGGCUAAUACCGGAUAGGAGCUCCUACUGCUUGGUGGGGGUUGGAAAGUUUCUGCGGUUGGGGAUGGACUCGCGGCCUAUCAGCUUGUUGGUGGGGUAGUGGCUUACCAAGGCUUUGACGGGUAGCCGGCCUGAGAGGGUGACCGGCCACAUUGGGACUGAGAUACGGCCCAGACUCCUACGGGAGGCAGCAGUGGGGAAUAUUGCACAAUGGGCGGAAGCCGUAUGCAGCAACGCCGCGUGGGGGAUGACGGCCUUCGGGUUGUAAACCGCUUUCGCCUGUGACGAAGCGUGAGUGACGGUAAUGGGUAAAGAAGCACCGGCUAACUACGUG